UACGUAGGGGGCAAGCGUUGUCCGGAAUCAUUGGGCGUAAAGAGCGUGUAGGCGGCUCGAUAAGUCUGCUGUGAAAGUCCAGGGCUCAACCCUGGAAGGCCGGUGGAAACUGUCGGGCUAGAGUCCGGAAGAGGCGAGUGGAAUUCCUGGUGUAGCGGUGAAAUGCGCAGAUAUCAGGAAGAACACCCGUGGCGAAGGCGGUUCUCUGGGACGGUACUGACGCUGAGACGCGAAAGCGUGGGGAGCGAACAGG
rnacentral:rRNA from 1 species